ACUUGAGUGAUCGGAAGACAUCUUAUGGGAGUUAUUUCCCUUUGAAAAUUUAAGAUAGGCGAUUUGUUGGAUAAAUUCAUACGUUAUAAGUCGUAGAGGCCUACAGUCUUUUGAUAUGAAGUCCUUGGUCCAUUUGAAGGAAAUUGAGGUCAAGGUCAAAGGUUAAAGGUCAAGGUCAUGUUAUAAAUUUUAAAUUUUGCUUGUUAUCGUUAUUUCACAGAAACGAUGACAGUAAAUGAUAUGAUGUGUUUGCCAAAUAACUGUUUACAAUAAGGCGCAACUUCAACCUAUUUCUGGUUAACUCUUAUAGGAGUUUUCUCCCCUUAUGUAUUUCAAAUCAGUAUUUCUCCACAACCAUACAAGUGAUUGACCUCCGGUCUUCCGUUUUGAGUUCACUGACCUAUGACCUUGAAAUUGAGAACAAGGUCGAAGGUCAAGGUCAUGUUAUAAAUUUUGAAUUUUGCUUGUUAUCGUUAUUCAAAAGAAACUGUUACAGUUAAUGAUAUGAUUUGUUUGCCAAAUUACUGUUUACAAAAAGGCGCAA
rnacentral:lncRNA from 1 species